UGAGGAAUCUUGCGCAAUGGGGGAAACCCUGACGCAGCAACGCCGCGUGAGUGAGGAAGGCCUUCGGGUCGUAAAGCUCUGUCAGAUGGGAAGAAAUGGGUGGGGGCUAAUAUCGUCCAUCCUUGACGGUACCAUCAGAGGAAGCACCGGCUAACUCCGUGCCAGCAGCCGCGGUAAUACGGGGGGUGCAAGCGUUGUUCGGAAUCAUUGGGCGUAAAGCGCGCGCAGGCGGCUUGGUAAGUCAGAUGUGAAAUCCCUGGGCUUAACCCAGGAAGUGCAUUUGAUACUGCCUCGCUAGAGUACGGGAGAGGAAAGUGGAAUUCCUGGUGUAGAGGUGAAAUUCGUAGAUAUCAGGAGGAACACCGGUGGCGAAGGCGACUUUCUGGCCCGAUACUGACGCUCAGGCGCGAAAGCGUGGGGAGCAAACAGG
rnacentral:rRNA from 1 species